UGAUACUCCUAACCAAAUCCAUAACGCUAUGCCAAAUCAGUUCCGAAAUCAACCGUUGCAGAGGCAAAGUCUGAAAUCUACAGUAGAUUCAACAAAAUCAAAUAUGCUUCACUAAACAAUCUCGACUUUUCUAGGCAAACAAUAACACAAAGUACUUGAACAAAUUCAGAAAAUUAGCAUGUCCUCAAAAUUCAAACUGGUGGUCGUUUAAGGAAUUCAUAAAAGUUAGUGAUAAGAGGUGACUGAAUAGAACAAACUAAAAAUAAAAACGUACCUGAACCAAAUAGGUGAACAGAUAACCGUACACUAAAUCGUCAAAUAGGUAAACUGUCUAUGCCAUGUGAAGCAACUCAAAAGACGGUUCCAUACC
rnacentral:lncRNA from 1 species